rnacentral:rRNA from 1 species
AUUGAACGCUGGCGGCAGGCCUAAUACAUGCAAGUCGAGCGGAUGACGGGAGCUUGCUCCUUGAUUCAGCGGCGGACGGGUGAGUAAUGCCUAGGAAUCUGCCUGGUAGUGGGGGACAACGUUUCGAAAGGAACGCUAAUACCGCAUACGUCCUACGGGAGAAAGCAGGGGACCUUCGGGCCUUGCGCUAUCAGAUGAGCCUAGGUCGGAUUAGCUAGUUGGUGGGGUAAUGGCUCACCAAGGCGACGAUCCGUAACUGGUCUGAGAGGAUGAUCAGUCACACUGGAACUGAGACACGGUCCAGAAUCCUACGGGAGGCAGCAGUGGGGAAUAUUGGACAAUGGGCGAAAGCCUGAUCCAGCCAUGCCGCGUGUGUGAAGAAGGUCUUCGGAUUGUAAAGCACUUUAAGUUGGGAGGAAGGGCAGUAAGCUAAUACCUUGCUGUUUUGACGUUACCGACAGAAUAAGCACCGGCUAACUCUGUGCCAGCAGCCGCAGUAA